rnacentral:misc_RNA from 1 species
UUUCCGUAGGUGAACCUGCGGAAGGAUCAUUCAUAAUAAGUGUUCUACUGCACUUUUUAAAAAUAGUACUCACCUUGUGAGCCAUGUUUGUUAGACGCUUUCGGGGGUCUGACAUUUAUACCAACCUUUGAUAUUUUGAACCAAUUUGUCUGAACAAUAUUAUGAAUACUUAAUUCUAAAUACAACUUUCAACAACGGAUCUCUUGGCUCUC